rnacentral:rRNA from 1 species
AUUGAACGCUGGCGGCAUGCUUUACACAUGCAAGUCGAACGGCAGCGCGGGCUUCGGCCUGGCGGCGAGUGGCGAACGGGUGAGUAAUGCAUCGGAACGUGCCCAGUAGUGGGGGAUAGCCCGGCGAAAGCCGGAUUAAUACCGCAUACGACCUGAGGGUGAAAGCGGGGGACCGAAAGGCCUCGCGCUAUUGGAGCGGCCGAUGUCGGAUUAGCUAGUUGGUGGGGUAAAGGCUUACCAAGGCGACGAUCCGUAGCUGGUCUGAGAGGACGACCAGCCACACUGGGCAUGAGACACGGCCCAGACCCCUAGGGGAGGCCGCGGGGGGGAAUUUGGGCAAAGGGGGGAAACCCUGAUCCAGCCGGGCCGCGGGGGGGAAGAAGGCCUUCGGGUUGUAAACCGUUUUUGUUGGGGAAAAAAUCCUUUGGGCUAACCCCCCGGGGGGAUGCCGGUACGGGAAGAAUAAGCACCGGCUACCUACGU